UAUUGCACUUGUCCCGGUCUGA
rnacentral:miRNA from 1 species